CAUAGGUUAAUGAGGCGAACCGGGGGAACUGAAACAUCUAAGUACCCCGAGGAAAAGAAAUCAACCGAGAUUCCCCCAGUAGCGGCGAGCGAACGGGGAGCAGCCCAGAGCCUGAAUCAGUAUGUGUGUUAGUGGAAGCGUCUGGAAAGGCGCGCGAUACAGGGUGACAGCCCCGUACACAAAAAUGCACAUGCUGUGAGCUCGAUGAGUAGGGCGGGACACGUGGUAUCCUGUCUGAAUAUGGGGGGACCAUCCUCCAAGGCUAAAUACUCCUGACUGACCGAUAGUGAACCAGUACCGUGAGGGAAAGGCGAAAAGAACCCCGGCGAGGGGAGUGAAAAAGAACCUGAAACCGUGUACGUACAAGCAGUGGGAGCACGCUUAGGCGUGUGACUGCGUACCUUUUGUAUAAUGGGUCAGCGACUUAUAUUCUGUAGCAAGGUUAACCGAAUAGGGGAGCCGAAGGGAAACCGAGUCUUAACUGGGCGUUAAGUUGCAGGGUAUAGACCCGAAACCCGGUGAUCUAGCCAUGGGCAGGUUGAAGGUUGGGUAACACUAACUGGAGGACCGAACCGACUAAUGUUGAAAAAUUAGCGGAUGACUUGUGGCUGGGGGUGAAAGGCCAAUCAAACCGGGAGAUAGCUGGUUCUCCCCGAAAGCUAUUUAGGUAGCGCCUCGUGAAUUCAUCUCCGGGGGUAGAGCACUGUUUCGGCAAGGGGGUCAUCCCGACUUACCAACCCGAUGCAAACUGCGAAU
rnacentral:rRNA from 1 species